rnacentral:tRNA from 1 species
CGGUGAAUAGCGCCGUUUGAUAGCUCAUCUGGUUUGGGACCAGAGGGUGGGGGGUUCGAAUCCCUCUUCGCCGA